AAAAAAAAAAAAAAAGAAAAAAAAAAAGAAAAAGAAAGGGGGAAGGGUUUUUCGUAGAAAACCCUUGAUCUACGAAAAUCAAACCGUUUAAACUCAAAUCCGACUUCGGAAAUGUGAUCUACGCAUAAGGAUCGUUUUGAGGAAAAAUACUAAACUCCUGAUUUUGUGAUUUUUGGUUAAAAUCUUGAAAUGUGAGUUUAAUCUAGUAUUUUUUUAGGUAAUGGAUUACUUGGAACUUGCUUGAGGCUACCCAAACAAUGGGUUUUGGUUUGGUGAAAUUUUGUGAUCCAUUGCAAGGUGGUGUCUAGGAGACCUAGUGAUUAAAUCUGCCCAGUCAAGACAUUGAUGCUUUGGUUGCAGGUUUUGCAAAUAUAGAUAUUGGCUCGUCCACCUAGCGUAUGGGAUGCUAUGAUUGGAGCACAUCGCGACGGUCAUAAGUCAAGGACUAAUGGGUAGUCCGUAUUUUGGGUAUUUUAUUUAUGGCUCGUGUCGUACGUGGCAUAUGUAUUUGUUGAGCCUGUAUUUUAGUAUGUAAUUAGUGUAAUAUGUUUUAUGAGCCUUAAAUAGAUAGACUUGUAUAUGGCUCUUGUUGUAAUUAACUGUUAUGUAUUAGAUGUAUUUCUACUUAUGAUAUGUGUUCCGCUGCACAUUGAUUAUUAUAUUCCGCUGUUA